AUGUGGAACUGUUGGAACUUCAAGCAUGGAAUGGCUGGAUUCUCUGCUCAGAAACUCAUGAUGCGGCUGAAACCAAGCAGGGGCCUACAUAGUCAUGAAAUGGGUAAAGUGGAGGUUGUACACAUGUGCACUGAAGUGUUUCAGUGGUGGACGCCUCAUCUGAGUAGGCAGCAUCCAGCCUUGUCAGGUACUCAUCCAGCUAAAGAUUGUGUUCUUGCAAAAGAGAACCUGCAACUUCUGUCUCACCAUCAUCAAUCCAGAGAUCUGAAGAAGUUACCUCUCAAAUAUGCAGCAUGUAAUACAACAGAACAGCACAUGCAUGAAAUUAAAAGCCGGCAAAAGAAUGACAUAAAAGGAUUAAAGAAUUUUAGAGAAUGGUGCCCAGGGUUUACACAGGGCCAGCAUUAGUGCCUGUUCUCUUCACCUAUACCAGAAAAACUCCAUUCACAGAGUGUUGGGUAACAGUAUUCAAGAAAAUCCUGUUUCAGUAACAAUUAGCCCUAGACUAAGCAAUGGAACCUAAAAAACCUAAAAUCAAGACUCAAAAUGAACAAACUUAUUCCAAAUAAGUUUAAAAAAGAACACAACUCAAUAAUAUUAUAGGAAUCACCAGGUGUGCUAUCCAAACGACCUCUGAGGUCACACAGCAUUUCUUCCACUCUAUUCUGUUGGUUGAAGCAAUAAUAAACUUGAAUGAUAAUCAAGGAAUUGUUCACACCUGUAAUUCCAGCACUGUGGAAGGCUGAGGUGGGUGGAUCACUUGAGAUCAGGAGUUUGAGACCAGUCUGGCCAGCAUGUGAAACCCCAUCUCUACUAAUAAUACAAAAUGUAGCCAGGUAUGGUGGUGUGUGCCUGUUGUCCCAGCUACUUGGGAGGUUCAGACAUGAGAAUUGCUUCAACUGGGAAAAGAGGUUGCAGUGAGCCAAGGUAGCACCACCACACUGCAGCCUGAGUGACAGAGUGAAGCCUGUCUCAAAAAAGAAAGGAGGGAGGGAGGGAGAAAAGUAUCAAAAAGGCCUGAAGAUAAUUCUAUGAGCAGCAGUGAUCAGAAAAAGAGGAAGCAUUUGUUUAUCUGUAUCACAGAAAGUAAACCUAUUGGAGAAACCAGACAGCAGUAUACGUGUGAAACAUCUUACAGAAGACUAUGGUGUACGAUUUUGAAAUGACCUCUAUCUAUUAUCCGAAGAAACAGAAUGAUGAACUGUUGAAAUUCUAUGCUAAUAGUUGAUUAGAAGUUACUGAAAAAUAAAAAAGCAUAGUGUAAAGCUGAAAUUGAAGAUUGCGAUUGUGUAUUGGAAAAGUGGAUACAUCAGCAUUACAGUGAACACGUGCCAUUUAAAGGUGUGGUGGAAUCAUGAAGCAAGUGAAGAUUCAUCAUGAAAAUGGAAGGGAACUGAGUAUUCAACAGUGUACUGCCACAAGAAUAUUAGAAAAUAUGUGGGAUUAAAUUUUAAAAUAUUUGUGGGAUAAAGCAUCUGCUAACUGCAAAGCAGCAAAUUCACUGACAAUUUUGCUAAGUUAACUGCUGACAGAACAAAUCUACAAGGGUGAUGAAGCAUCACUGUUUUGGUGUUACUGCCCCAGAAAGACAGUGAUUACAGUGGGUAAGACAGAUCCCACAGGAAUUAAGGACGUCAAGGACAGAAUAACUGCGCUGCAGUGUGCUAAUGCAGCAGGCAUGCGUAAGUGCAAACUUGCUGUGAAAGGCAAAGCUUUUGUCAUCGCUGUUUUCAAGAAACGAAUUUCCAAGUCUAUUAUGCUAACCAAAGGCCAUGGACCAGCAGGAACAUGUUUCCCAAUUGGCUUCACAUUUUAUACCAGGAGUUUACACUCACUGAAAGGAAGCUGGGCUAGAAUACUUCAAGAUUUUGUUAUUUCUUGAAAACUGAUCUGCUCAUCUCCAGUUGAAAUUCUCAUCAAAAUAAUCUUUAUGUUAUGUACUUUCUCCCAGACGUGACUUCCUUAAUUCAUUCAUGUGAAAAAAAUCAGUAAAGUGUAAAUAUGAAAGUGUGCUUUUCUAAACAGCGUGCUAGCAGCAGUGAACAGAACAGUGGAAGUGGGAGGUUUUCAAACAGAGUUUAGCAUGAAGGAAACCAUCCAUGGUGUUGCCACCCUUGGAGCACAGUGACUAAAGGCACAGUUGUACUUGCCUGGCACAGUCUCUGGCCAGUAAGUAUGUUCAGUGUUGAUGAUGAACAAGACUGUGACAUUGAAUAAUUCUGUAUGUCAAUUGUGAACAAAAUUGUAUCUAACCUUACAUAUUUCAACAUUUACCUUCAGAGUCUGUGAGUAAGCUGACAAGAAAGAAGUGAAUAUUGAAGUUUUUAACAUCAAUAAUAAGGCUCCAGUUGUUCAUUCUUCGAAUCAUGGUGAAAUAGCUAAAACGGCAAUGAAUUGAGAUGAUCAUAAUAGUGACAACGAAGACAAUGUUAACACUGCCCAAAAAGAAUGUAUAGAUGAUGUGGUAAAAAGGUGUGAUGAGUUUAUUAAAGGAGAGUUAAUGAGUAGAUGACUCUGGGGGAAAUAUGUGGAAAGCCAUCCACAAGAAACUCUCCUCAUUUUUAGAAAACACACUUCCUGGUCCCUCAACUGGUUUGAUGUUUGUAUUCAGCACCCCCCAAAAUAAAAUAAGUUGCACAUAAACCAUCUAAUCAAAAUACAGCACCAUGGUGGAGACCGGAAGCCUGGCGUUGUUUGUUGUUGCUGCUGUCUAACAACUGAUGUUAACUAUUCUGGCGAUGUUACUAUGCUGUUUUGUUACUCAGAACACAUGAGCUUUCACUGUAUUAAUUGUAUGUCACAUUUUUCUGCUACAUACUUAUGUAUGAAUAAGCCAAAGGAAAUGAUCGCUUAUCAGUAGUGCAUAGUAGUGUAUACCUUUAGAGACAGGAAUGCUGGUGUCAAACAAGCAGACUGUCCACAUGGGUGGCUGAGAGAGCGACAGUGACUGUGCUUUCUGGUGGUUUAAUGUAUAUAACCUGGUUGGUGCACAAAUUAAUUAAAAAUAUUGUAUAAAAUCAUCUGCAAGCUAUGUAUAUGAGGUGUCUAUAAAAUGGAAAUGGUUUUGUUUUUACACUUAUGUCCCAGUCCCUAAAGUAUCUCAUUGUGAGUAUGCAAAUAUUCCAAAAUAUGAAAUACUCUGAAAUCUAACACAUAUCUGGUAUCAAGAAUUUUUAGACAAGGUUUACUCCAUCUGUACCACUUACCAUGUUACAAAUUGAUAGUUAAGUGUCUCUUUAUUCAAAACUGAGUUUCUAAAUAAUAAGAUACAACACAUUAUUGCAUAUGAUUUGAAACUGAAUGCUUACUGUCAGUUUUGAAGCUUGAAGCUUUAUGUCAAAAUGUUUAUUAUUAUUGCAAAUGAUUUAUGUAGCCUGUCCAUCAUCCUUAUAUUAUUAAAAUUUUAGUUGACUUGAUCAAUAUUUAAAAAAGAUAUAAAUAUUAAAAAAUUAGAAGUUCUCAAAUUGGAGUUAUCACUGCUUACCCAGGAUUUGGUUAAUACUUUUUCUUAACCACAGGAGAUAAAAAUAGACAGUCAAUGUAUAUAAUAAAAAUUAAACUAGG
ensembl:lncRNA